rnacentral:rRNA from 1 species
GUAGGUGGCAAGCGUUGUCCGGAAUUAUUGGGCGUAAAGCGCGCGCAGGCGGUUCUUUAAGUCUGAUGUGAAAGCCCACGGCUCAACCGUGGAGGGUCAUUGGAAACUGGAGAACUUGAGUAUAGAAGAGGAAAGCGGAAUUCCACGUGUAGCGGUGAAAUGCGUAGAGAUGUGGAGGAACACCAGUGGCGAAGGCGGCUUUCUGGUCUGUAACUGACGCUGAGGCGCGAAAGCGUGGGGAGCAAACAGGAUUAGAUACCCUGGUAGUCCACGCCGUAAACGAUGAGUGCUAAGUGUUAGGGGGGUUUUCCGCCCCCCUUAGUGCUGCAGCUAACGCAUUAAGCACUCCGCCUGGGAGUACGGCCGCAAGGCUG